UUUGUCAAUGCCAUCUAAUGGCAAACUCCGCAAUCACUUAGUUGCCAACCCAAUACAAUCUGUACAUUUAUCAUUCUUAUUUUUGUAGACAAAUAAAAUACAACAAUCUUUAGAAGUGACGGAGUCGUUAGGAGAAUUGCUGUUUGAGACAGUCGUUAAAAAACCAUUAAAACCAAUGAAAUUUAACAUAAUCGUCAAUACGUAAAUACGACGUGAAACCGUAAAAUUGGGAAAAUUGGUUAACCAACGAUCAAACGAAAUUCCGUGAAGAGAAUUCCUGAAGUGCCUGGUGGAAACUGUAAUUGAGAUAAAGAGUUCGGUACAGCGCGUCCGAAAUCAAUUGACCGUUCAACGUCACUUCGCCUAUUCCAAGAACGACUUAUAGUUAAGACGAAGUGGGGGAAACUCCUUAACCUGCGAAGCUUAGUUUCGAACCACCGAAUGAUAUGGUAGCAUUUGUUCUUUUAUGGCUUCGAACGGACACCUGAUACUACAUGUGACGCAACUAAAAAGAUUUUAGUUGGUUGAAGCUACGUAAAGGGAAUUUCACAACGAAGAAUCGUGUCAACUGUGAAUCGAUUAAAUCGAGGAAAGUUCAAGUAUUUAAGAAGAAAGGAAAAAUGAAAAUAGAAAUAAGAGGGCGGAGUUGGCAAAAAAUUUCAAAUGAAAAAUUGGUGUAAAAUUUUGCAAGGAGAAAGUUUGAAGUUGACCGAUCCUUCAAAGUAAAAGGUGACGUUCGUUGCUUAAGAAAAGGAAUUACUCCCGGAAUAUGAAACGUUUUGGCUGGGAACACGGUUUAAAAUGGAACGAUGCGGAUUGUUGACAAUCGAAGAAAAAAAAAGACAGGAAGAAGCAAGCAACUUUGACGCAAACAACUUUUUACUGAAAUAUCAAGGCGAAGAAGUAGUUCAAGAUGAAAGCAAAUGGAACACCGCGGCCCCGUGGUUUCAUAUGAAACUUCUCAAGCGUCCAACUUUCAUCUGAUCGAUGCAAAAAAAAAAAAAAAUAAAGAAGAAA